rnacentral:tRNA from 1 species
GGAGAGGUGCCGAAAUUGGUAGCCGGGCGAUAUAGUCGUAGUGGAUUAAGUUAUCAGGCCAGUAACUCCACUUUGCAGGUUCAAGUCCUGCCCUCUCUA